CAAAAGCUGCCUUCAAAUGCAGCUUGGCUGUGAUUCACAGUGGGGAAAAAAGCAGGAAUAACCCUGCCAGGUCCCAGGAGCUUUGAGAUUCAUCGCAUUGAACUUGAUACAUACAGCAAAGCACCUUGAAAAUGAAUCAUUUGCUAGUUCAGUAUUUUCUCCUUACAAUCACUCCCUCCCAGGGCAUGUAAUUAAUUUCCUGAGCUUUGAAAAAAAAAAAU
rnacentral:lncRNA from 1 species